rnacentral:rRNA from 1 species
AUACGGGGGGUGCAAGCGUUGUUCGGAAUUACUGGGCGUAAAGGGCGUGUAGGUGGCUAAGUAAGUCAGGUGUGAAAGCCUUCCGCUUAACGGGAGAAGUGCACUUGAAACUGUUUAGCUAGAGUACGAGAGAGGAAGGUGGAAUUCCUGGUGUAGAGGUGAAAUUCAUAGAUAUCGGGAAGAACACCGGUGGCGAAGGCGGCCUUCUGGCUCGAUACUGACGCUGAUACGCGAAAGCGUGGGGAGC